AUACGGAGGGUGCAAGCGUUAUCCGGAAUCAUUGGGUUUAAAGGGUCCGUAGGCGGUCUAUUAAGUCAGAGGUGAAAUCCCACAGCUCAACUGUGGAACUGCCUUUGAUACUGGUAGACUUGAGUUACAGUGAAGUAGAUAGAAUGUGUAGUGUAGCGGUGAAAUGCAUAGAGAUUACACAGAAUACCGAUUGCGAAGGCAGUCUACUAACUGUAUACUGACGCUGAUGGACGAAAGCGUGGGGAGCGAACAGGAUUAGAAACCCUAGUAGUCC
rnacentral:rRNA from 1 species